GCGCCCGUAGCUCAGCUGGAUAGAGCGUCUGCCUCCGGAGCAGAAGGCCAGGGGUUCGAAUCCCUUCGGGCGCACCA
rnacentral:tRNA from 1 species